GGGUGGUAAUGCCGGAUGCUCCGACUCCUCGCAUGGGGUGUCGGGAAAGAUUUCAUCGGUAUGGGAUGGGGUCGCGUCCUAUCAGGUAGUCGGCGGGGUAACGGCCCACCGAGCCUACGACGGGUAGCCGGCCUGAGAGGGCGACCGGCCACAUUGGGACUGAGAUACGGCCCAGACUCCUACGGGAGGCAGCAGUGGGGAAUAUUGCACAAUGGGCGCAAGCCUGAUGCAGCGACGCCGCGUGCGGGAUGACGGCCUUCGGGUUGUAAACCGCUUUUGAUCGGGAGCAAGCCUUCGGGUGAGUGUACCUUUCGAAUAAGCACCGGCUAACUACGUGCCAGCAGCCGCGGUAAUACGUAGGGUGCAAGCGUUAUCCGGAAUUAUUGGGCGUAAAGGGCUCGUAGGCGGUUCGUCGCGUCCGGUGUGAAAGUCCAUCGCUUAACGGUGGAUCUGCGCCGGGUACGGGCGGGCUGGAGUGCGGUAGGGGAGACUGGAAUUCCCGGUGUAACGGUGGAAUGUGUAGAU
rnacentral:rRNA from 1 species